rnacentral:rRNA from 1 species
UGGGGAAUAUUGCACAAUGGGCGCAAGCCUGAUGCAGCGACGCCGCGUGAGGGAUGGAGGCCUUCGGGUUGUAAACCUCUUUCGCCAGUGAAGCAGGCCAUCUUCUUUGUGGGGUGGUUGACGGUAGCUGGAUAAGAAGCGCCGGCUAACUACGUGCCAGCAGCCGCGGUAAUACGUAGGGCGCGAGCGUUGUCCGGAAUUAUUGGGCGUAAAGAGCUCGUAGGCGGCUGGUCGCGUCUGUCGUGAAAUCCCCUGGCUUAACUGGGGGCUUGCGGUGGGUACGGGCCGGCUUGAGUGCGGUAGGGGAGACUGGAAUUCCUGGUGUAGCGGUGGAAUGCGCAGAUAUCAGGAGGAACCCCGGUGGCGAAGGCGGGUCUCUGGGCCGUUACUGACGCUGAGGAGCGAAAGCGUGGGGAGCGAACAGG